rnacentral:rRNA from 1 species
UAAGGAAUAUUGGACAAUGGGCGGAAGCCUGAUCCAGCCAUGCCGCGUGAAGGAUGAAGGCGCUCAGCGUUGUAAACUUCUUUUGGAUGGGGACAAUAACUUCCAUUUAUGGGAGCUUGAGGGUACCAUCAGAAUAAGCACCGGCUAACUCCGUGCCAGCAGCCGCGGUAAUACGGAGGGUGCAAGCGUUAUCCGGAAUCACUGGGUUUAAAGGGUGCGUAGGCUGUUAGAUAAGUCAGUUGUGAAAUUCCUCGGCUUAACCGAGUGGACUGCGAUUGAUACUGUUUAACUUGAAUGAGGUUGAGGUAGGCGGAAUGUGGCAUGUAGCGGUGAAAUGCUUAGAUAUGCCAUAGAACACCGAUUGCGAAGGCAGCUUGCUGGGCCUUCAUUGACGCUGAGGCACGAAAGCGUGGGGAGCAAACAGG